rnacentral:lncRNA from 1 species
GUCACAUAGUAACUACAUACAGAACACAGUAAGUGAACACAAACUGGGAAUGGAUUACAAAGCCUCAAGCCCCACCUCUGGUAACCUACUUUUGCCAAUGAAACUUUGCCUUCUAAAUAGUCCAUAACCUUCCUAAACAGCACAGCUGAGGACCAAGUGUUCAAACACAUGAAUCUGUAGAGGGCAUUUCAUAUUGAAAUCAUGUCUUUUGUUUCAGCACAAAUACAGAACAUCUUCAAAUAUCUGUGUUUGAGUCCCAAAUCCUUGCAUCUUUCAAGGAUCCCUGUAACCUGAUCGCAACCUAUGGAUAAGACUUUUACUCCUAUGUUUCCCUUAAAUCUAAUAAUCAGUUACUUUAUGAAAUACUUUAUAUUCCAGACACCAGCCUCUGGGGUGAUAAUCAAAGAUGAGUGAAAGACCGUGUUACCCAAGUGUCAGAAGAAACACAAAUCUGUAAAAUAUAACUAGCAAGACCAUGCAGAGAGGAAAUGAUACUGUGAAUAUUUACAGCAGACGACUUCACUUCUGAAUUGGAGACAGAGAGAAUAUUAUGUAGACAGAGCUCAGACCUAGCAGUUGGAAAACUGACCUCCAUCCCUUGGAGCUGACUAAGAAGAUGAACCCAGAAAUUGGGGAGUAUUGUCCCUUAUUACCAUGAAACCCAGGAUCAAGCCAAAGAAUCUCAAAUGUAAAGACCCUACAAUUUCUUUCGGGUUUUUCAAUAUAAAAUUUCAAGAGGACAAUGGUUGCCGGUGGCAGAGGAAAAUGGAAACGUGGCACUGCACCCAGAAGAGAAUGGAUCCAUG